GGGGAUGUUGCUCAGUGAUAGAGCAUUUUGCCUGGCAAGCAUGAGGCCUUGGGUUCGAUCCCUAGCACAGCCC
rfam:Ictidomys tridecemlineatus contig112954, whole genome shotgun sequence.